CCUUUCUCAUCUCCCUCAGUUUGUGUUGACGAACCGUUCUUUUCUUCCUCCUUCUUUGGUUUCUCGAGUGGUUUGCGUACCAUAUUAGAGUGGUUUUUCGAAACUUUUCGAAACCAUAUUGAGGUGUUAUUCUCGAGCGAUUUCUAGCAGUGCAGCCUUUAAUCGUACAGUUAGAAUCUGGGCUGUUUUAUCCUGGAGGCGGCGCGGUUGCUAGUCUACCUUGCACAACUUAGGUAGUGCCGCGAAACGUCUUAAAGAAAGCGACCUGGUCGUGACUCACCCCGGUAAUAGUUUCAAAGCUCUGUCGUAAUUUUCAAAUUACAAAAACAACACAUUUUGAUUUAAGGAAAAAGUGAUUAUCUUAUUGAAGAUAGAGAUCAUGCUUUUAUUUUACAUUUGCAAGAGAUACGAUACAAUACCUACAUGCAUGUGUCUAGUUUUCAUGCAUGUCCCCUA
rnacentral:lncRNA from 1 species